rnacentral:lncRNA from 1 species
AGAGAUUAAAUGUCCAGCAAACGACGGCAAUGUUGCCAGAUUCCUUUUAGCGGGAAUUUUAAAAUUUUAUAGCAGUUUGGUUUUAAAUUUGACAGUUCUGUUUUCUCAAGUCAAAAAUCUUAACCUUACUUUUACAAGUGAUUAAGAUUAUUAUUAUUUUAUUUACACGUAAAUUGAAACAAUAAAUAUUGUGCUUUGUCAUAAUUUAAAACUCAUUAUGUUGAAGUAUUUUCCAGUUGAUAAAAUUGCAAUUCAAAAACUUUUAGAUUUGCACUGUAUGGAUGGCACAGGAAGAGAACAGAGAACAAGAGUACAAGAACAUGAAACAUCUUAUUAUGAAUGUAUAUGUAUGUGAUCCUCAAAAAAUUAUUUUUCAAAACAAGAUAGAGAAAGAGCUUUAAAAUCCCAAGGAUCCUGCAAAAUGUUUAUUUGGCGUACUAGUCGAAUAAUAGUAUCUAAAAAUAUUGAAACUGUUUUAAAACACAUUAUAGGCAUGAGGAUGAUAUAGAGCACUUACAUAAAUACCAAUAUCAGAUAAAUAUCUCUUCAAAGUUUAUUUUGAGACUUUCUUCAAAAAUUAAACUUCAGACUGUUCAGGAUAGCAUAAUAGCAUAGGAGGCGAAUUAAAAAGAAUUAAUUUACUUACAAGAAAAGAUAUCACAAACAUUAAACUCUCUUAUGGCAUUGAUUUGAAAGAUGGGUAUAUGUACAAGGAUGAUGCAACCAGUGUUUAUUUUUGGGUUGAAUGCUUACAGACUCAUGUCCAAUAUUAUUUUACAAACAACAGGGCAUACUAAUGGAUAUUCAUUCUGAAUUUAACAUUUAUGAUUUUUGUCUUAUUUUCCUUAAUACUGUGCCAAAAGGAAAUGUUAAUUAAGUUUGGCAAAUCCUUUAUCGCAAUCGAUGGAACUCAUGGGCUCAAUUCCUAUGACUUUGAACUUAUGACAGUAUUAGUAAAAGAUGAAUUUGGGAAUGGAUUUUGUACUGCUUUCUUAUUUUCAAAUAGAAAAGAUACCUACUUUAAUUUA